AAGGAGAAUUGCCUACUGUUUAAUUUUGAGGGUUCGUUUUUACGAAUACUCAAAAGUAGCACUUUAAGCAACAGAAUAAACUGAACGCAUGUGAAGUUUGUUUGUUGGCGCUGUGUGUUAGCACUUUAAGCAACGUGAUUUAUCCGUUGGCGCUGUGCAUUAGCACUUUAAGCAACGGAAUUUAUUCGUUGGCGCUGUGCAUUAGCACUUUAAGCAACGGAAUUUAUUCGUUGGCGCUGUGCAUUAGCACUUUGAAAACUGCAUAUAUAUAUUUAGUGAUAUGACAUCUAAUUUGUAAUAUAUAAAGCUGAUAACUUUUUAAAAUUAUCGAAGUUGAUAGCUUCUAAUCUAUCAAACCUUUUUAAC
rnacentral:misc_RNA from 1 species